rnacentral:rRNA from 1 species
GUGAGGAAUAUUGCACAAUGGACGAAAGUCUGAUGCAGCGACGCCGCGUGGGUGACGAAGGCCUUCGGGUCGUAAAACCCUUUUGGCAGGGACGAGUGAGGACGGUACCUGCAGAAUAAGUCUCGGCUAACUACGUGCCAGCAGCCGCGGUAAAACGUAGGAGGCGAGCGUUAUCCGGAUUUACUGGGCGUAAAGCGUGCGUAGGCGGUUGGUCAAGUCAGAUGUUAAAGCCCCUGGCUCAACUGGGGGAGGUCAUUUGAUACUGAUCGGCUUGAGGGUGAGAGAGGAGAGUGGAAUUCCCGGUGUAGCGGUGGAAUGCGUAGAGAUCGGGAGGAACACCAGUGGCGAAAGCGGCUCUCUGGCUCACUUCUGACGCUGAGUGCACGAAAGCGUGGGUAGCAAACGGGAUUAGAAACCCCAGUAGUCC